rnacentral:rRNA from 1 species
CUUAGUGGCGGACGGGUGAGUAACGCGUGGGUAACCUGCCUUGCACUGGGGGAUAACGACUUAGAAAUAGGUGCUAAUACCGCAUAAGCGCACGGUCCUGCAUGGGACAGUGUGAAAAACUCCGGUGGUGCAAGAUGGACCCGCGUCUGAUUAGCUGGUUGGCGGGGUAAAGGCCCACCAAGGCGACGAUCAGUAGCCGGCCUGAGAGGGUGGACCGGCCACAUUGGGACUGAGACACGGCCCAAACUCCUACGGAAGGCAGCAG